CGGUAACUAACUAGGAGUGAAGGAGAACCUAGCUAGUGGGGAAAGAAACAACGGUGAAAAGAAACAAGUUAACCCUUUUUUAAUAACAAUUUUAGAAGUGAUUUUGAGUUCCCGUUCUGUCUUUUUUGCUGAACACAGUUUUUGGGUCGAGUUUUGAAAAAGGACUUGGAGCAGGAGAGAUGAUCUAGAGCAGUAUUUCUCAGAGUGACCCUGCGGACGAGCAAUUAAAUUCGGCUGAUGCACGGCUCUGACCCAAAUACUCACCUACAGAUACUUCAGCUGGGAAGGAGGAGGAAGAUGUGAAGGAGGAGGAGUGAAGCUGUGGAAUGCAGCCUUUCUG